AGAUGUCAGCCAGGAAGAUGUUCCCCUCGUAAUAUCAGAUGGAGGAGACUCUGAGCAGUUCCUAGAUGAGGAGCGUCAGGGACCACCUUUGGGAGGACAGCAAUCUCAACCCUCUGCUGGUGAUGGGAACCAGGAUGAUGGCCCUCAGCAGGGACCACCCCAACAAGGAGGCCAGCAGCAACAAGGUCCACCACCUCCUCAGGGAAAGCCACAAGGACCACCCCAACAGGGAGGCCAUCCCCCUCCUCCUCAAGGAAGGCCACAAGGACCACCCCAACAGGGAGGCCAUCCCCGUCCUCCUCGAGGAAGGCCACAAGGACCACCCCAACAGGGAGGCCAUCAGCAAGGUCCUCCCCCACCUCCUCCUGGAAAGCCCCAGGGACCACCUCCCCAAGGGGGCCGCCCACAAGGACCUCCACAGGGGCAGUCUCCUCAGUAAUCUAGGAUUCAAUGACAGGAAGUGAAUAAGAAGAUAACAGUGUUUCAAAUGCCGUGAAACAUGGCAUCAUGCUCUAACUUCAGUAUACCAAUAAAACAAUCAGCUUG
rnacentral:misc_RNA from 1 species